AGAAUGCCACCCUCAUAUUUUCAUUUUCUUUUACAAUAUUUUUUAAACUCAAAAAUUAAGGAAAUUCCCAAAAACCCAUUGUCAAUAUGGAAAACUACCAAUCCAACAUGAAGUAUCCGAUUAUCUGCUCCAAAUUUGAUAAUCCGACCCGAAUCCACACAAAAUACUCUAUUUUUUUCUUCUUCGUUUCUUUGUCAAUUUUCUUCAAUUGCUUAUUCUUCUUCUUUUCCUCUUCUUCUUAAGCUCCAAAAAUCCCCAAAUCUUGAACUUCAAUCCAAGAACCACUUAAGUUGAGAGUCGAAAUCAGAGUUUCGGAGAUCUCGAUUGAGGGGUCUUCCAUCUGAUGUGUUGCCUCAUAAGAUAUUAGAAUCUGAAGCGAAUAACUUGGUGGGUGAGGUUGUGAAAUCUCAGAAGCAAGAACCGAUUCGGGGAUCUUUGAGAACAGAGAUUGGAUCUGCAGAUUCGUUGCUGAGGAAAGCUGACUCGCCAUUGAUCGUGUUUGGUAAAGGAGUUGCUUAUUACUUUGAUUCCAGUUGUUUAUUCGUUGAUUGUUUUGGGGGCUCAGUAAACUUGCUCGAAUUGUACCUUUCACCUGGUUUUGUUUUGCCAAUGACUGGUUCCGUCUUCUAUUUUGUCUCAGUUUGGUCAUUUGUCCUUGAAGAUGCAAAUUUGGUCCGUCGCGGUGAGCGUUAGUGCUUGUACGGAUAAUUAAUUCUGCUCGGAUAGUUCGAUCGAGCUCUUUCUUUGAUAUGGAUUGUGUACAAAGAGUCUACAUCAUUUGGUUCAAUAAAAUGAAGAAUUAAAAAGCUUUGUGGAGAGUUUAAUAGUGGUUUGAAGGAUGAUUUGGUGUUGGGAGAUCCUACUGCGCCAAGAGAUCAUGCGCCAAGCAGGUUUUGUAUCAUCCCCAAGAGACAGAGGCUUGAGCCGACCGAGAGAGGUCGAGAUUUGCAUCUCCAAGAUUGCACAUGGCUUAUGUUUUUGUAUUUCAUUUAUGUAUUUUGUUGGGUUGUAGAUUAAGAACAUAUGACUUCAUAUUUUUGUAGACCAAAAAAAUAUUUAGAUUAUAUUUAAGUUCAGUUGGUUUUGUAGGUA